rnacentral:misc_RNA from 1 species
AAGAGAAUUUUUAGUGCUAGCAAGGAUUUAAGAGGGAGGCGGCUGAAUGAAAUUGCCAAUUGUAUGCUAGAAAAAUUGGCAAAUAGGUCUAAUCUUUCCGAGGUUUAUAGUAAUAUCAUGGGCUUCUUGAUCGAAAGUGAGUCUUCCAGUUUUGGCAGUGCUUCUGCGUUACCUGAGAAGGAACGUGGAAAUAGAAGCAAUGGGGGGAUUGCUGGGCGUAGCCAGGAUUCUUCAUGGCUUAAAUCUGUUUAUUCAGAAAAAGCUCCCCAGUUAGAAAGAUCAACUAGCCUGCUUCCUAGCUUUCAUACAGAUUUGAACGAUAAACGUCCUGUGGAGUCUGAGAUAGAGAGAAGUGCCCAGAAAGAACCCAUUUUUGAUGAACUAGAGAGCUUAGUGAGAAUUAAACAAGCAGAAGCUAAAAUGUUUCAAGCACGCGCGGAUGAUGCAAGAAGGGAUGCCGAGGGCCUGAAACGAAUUGCAAUUGCAAAGAAUGAAAAAAUUGAAGAAGAAUAUACAAGUAGAAUCAGAAAACUGCGGUUAGUUGAGGCCGAGGAAAUGCGUAAACAAAAAUAUGAAGAAUUCCAGGCUUUGGAAAGGGCUCAUCGGGAAUACUUCAGUAUGAAGAUGAGGAUGGAAGCAGAUGUCAAAGAUCUGUUGUUGAAAAUGGAAGAUACAAAACAUAACCUUGCCAUGUGAUUUGCUAAUGAACAAGGUUUUGCCUGAGAAAAUGUAAUGGAUCCCAGGUAAAUUUACUCCUUAGAAGCUCAAGUUGUGCGCUGUAAUUUUAAUGUAGCAUCAUUGGCGGCCGUUUGCUUCAGCUUUUAAAUUAUAGCUGUAUCUUUUCACCUAGGUUGUUUUUUAACUUUCUUUUCUUUACUGCUAACCUAAUUUGUACAGAGACUCCAAAAUCUUUGUAUUCUAUGAGCAGCUUCCAUUUGUAGAAGCAAUUUCAAAGAGACAUGAUAG